GAUGAAGAACGCAGCGAAAUGCGAUAAGUAAUGUGAAUUGCAGAAUUCAGUGAAUCAUCGAAUCUUUGAACGCACAUUGCGCCCGCCAGUAUUCUGGCGGGCAUGCCUGUCUGAGCGUAAUUUCAACCCUCAUGCCCCUAGGGCGUGGUGUUGGGGAUCGGCCAAAGCCCGCGAGGGACGGCCGGCCCCUAAAUCUAGUGGCGGACCCGUCGUGGCCUCCUCUGCGAAGUAGUGAUAUUCCGCAUCGGAGAGCGACGAGCCCCUGCCGUUAAACCCCCAACUUUCCAAGGUUGACCUCAGAUCAGGUAGGAAUACCCGCUGAACUUAAGCAUAUCAAUAAGCGGAGGA
rnacentral:misc_RNA from 1 species